GACGAACGCUUGCGACGUGCCUAAGAAAUGCAAGUCGAACGGGGGUCUCCUUCGGGGGGCACUAGUGGCGAACGGUCGCGUAACACGUGGGCAACCUGCCCUGAAGCGGGGGGACAACAACUCGAAAGAGUUGCUAAUACCGCAUGUGAACCCUUUCUGGCAUCAGAGAGUGUUCAAAGGACUUCGGUUCACUUCAGGAUGGGCCCGCGGCCUAUCAGCUAGUUGGUGAGGUAACGGCUCACCAAGGCUUCGACGGGUAGCUGGUCUGAGAGGACGAUCAGCCGGAUUGGGACUGAGAUACGGCCCAGACUCCUACGGGGGGCAGCAAUUAGGAAUCUUGCGCAAUGGGCUAAAGCCUGACGCAGCGACGUCGCGUGAAGGAUGAAAUCUUUCGGGAUGUAAACUUCUUUUACCAGGGAAGAAUAAUGACGGUACCUGGUGAAUAAGCCCCGGCUAACUACGUGCCAGCAGCCGCAGUAAC
rnacentral:rRNA from 1 species